rnacentral:rRNA from 1 species
AGCGGCAACAGCUCAAAUUUGAAAUCUGGCCCCUAGGGUCCGAGUUGUAAUUUGCAGAGGAUGCUUUUGACAAGGUGCCUUCCGAGUUCCCUGGAACGGGACGCCAUAGAGGGUGAGAGCCCCGUCUGGUCGGAUACCGCGUCUUUGUAAAGCUCCUUCGACGAGUCGAGUAGUUUGGGAAUGCUGCUCUAAAUGGGAGGUAUAUGUCUUCUAAAGCUAAAUAUUGGCCAGAGACCGAUAGCGCACAAGUAGAGUGAUCGAAAGAUGAAAAGCACUUUGAAAAGAGGGUUAAAAAGUACGUGAAAUUGUUGAAAGGGAAGCGCCUAUGACCAGACUUGGGCCCGGUGAAUCAUCCAGCGUUCUCGCUGGUGCACUUUGCCGGGCACAGGCCAGCAUCAGUUUGGCUUGGGGGAAAAAGGCUUUGGGAACGUAGCUCCUCGGAGUGUUAUAGACCAUUGCAUAAUACCCUGGGCCGGACUGAGGUUCGCGCAUCUGCAA